UAGCACAUUAUUUAUUUUUAAAAUAAUUAUUUAUUUAUUUGAAAGGCAGAGAGAAAGGGAGAAAGAAAUCUUCCAUUUGUUUGUUCACUCCCCAAAUGGCCACAAUGGCUAGGGAUGGAUCAGGCUGAAGCCAAAAGCCUGGAACUCUAUCUGGAUCUCCCUCAUGGGUAGCAGGGAUCCAAAUCUUUGAGCCAUCUUCCGCUACUUUCUCUGGUGCAUUAGUGUGAGCUGGAUUAGAAGCAGGGAGGCUUCUAAUGGAAUUCUGGCUCCAUAUGGGAUUCUGACAUCACAGGCAGUGGAUUAACCCACUAUGCCAAAAUGGCUAUCCCUGGGGGAACACUUGAGAACAUCUACCAUACUACCUUGAAUGAUCACUGUGGAUUAGGGAGAGAAGAGGAAGGCGAGAGAAAGAAAUGGAGGGAGAAAGAGAGAGGGAGGGAGAAUCUCGGUCUAUAGUUAGAACUGUGUAAGUGUUGCCUGUUAUUUUUGAGCAAAUAGACAGCCUCAUUUAAAAUAUGUCUAUGUGGAAAGAAAAGAUGAACUGAGAGGAAAACUAGGAAAAGUGGGGAAAGUUGCUACAGCAAAAUUUUAAAACUUUACUUGAGAGAGAGAAAGAGAGAGAGAAACAAGAGAGCACUCUGGUUUGCAGGUUCAUUCUCCAAAUGCUCAGAAGGGCCAGGGCAUACCCUAAAGCCUACAACCCAGAAAUAUAACCUAGGCCUCUCAUGUGGAAAACAGAAACUCAAUUACUUCAGCCAGGAAUUAAGAGCCAGCACCAGUGAAAUGAAAUUUGUGGAGCAUGAUUCCCCAGCAUGAAAGUCUAGACUUGUGGAGCUGAAGUAUACAGAUCUUUAACCUAGCAAGAAUGUCCUAAAAACCUGGUAAGUGAAACCUGCAUUAACAUUUUUAAAAAGCAUUACAGAUUAUUGACUUUACUAAGUGUUCAUGUCAUAAUAUAUAUUAUUUAAAUGCUAAGACUGCAUAUGUUUCAAAUGUGAUUCAACAACUCCAAAUUCACUCUUUUCAGGACCACAUAGAAAACACUUUGGGAGAUAAAACUGAACAUGAACUAGAAAUGUUGUGAAAUUAAUGUUUUCAUUGAAGAAAUGGCCAUCAUAUAUGAAGAACAUUAAUUUGUAUCUACUAAAAGUCGACCAACUACAUGAUAUUAAAUUCCAGUUGCUCAAGAUAGAUUUUAGUGCUUAUUAACAAAAUAUGCUCAUUGUUUUUUGGAAAUGGUCUGAAGCUGUAAUAUGAGAAAUAUUUGCUAGGUAAGAUAAUGAACUUUCUGACAGAGGUUUUUAAACACUGAGGCAGGUAAGUAAGUGACCUGUAAUCUCUUUCUAGGAAUCUCUGACAAACUGAAUUCACACUCAUCAACAAACACAUGGUAGGUGCAACUUCUUAAAAGUAUAAUAUUUGAAACCCUCUCCCAACUAUUUUUGGACAGUUAUUCUGUCUUGUGUUGCAUGUGCUAUAUGUGUGAGUAGGAGGGAGACAUAAGUGCAAUAGUUGUUCCUUGCUUUUACUGUGGAGUCAAUUGCAUGCCUCACCAUGCUUUUCCAAGGGCAAUCAUUAUGCCAUAUGAUGGUGUUCUGCUUGCUCUCCUAACAAGAUGAUAUUGUUUGUAAGGGAUGUACCAUCACCCUUUUGGCCUAGGAGCCAA
ensembl:lncRNA